UGGGGAAUAUUGGACAAUGGGCGGAAGCCUGAUCCAGCAACGCCGCGUGAGGGAUGACGGCCUUCGGGUUGUAAACCUCUUUCACCAUUGACGAAGCCGCACAGUGUGUGUGGUGACGGUAGGUGGGGAAGAAGCACCGGCCAACUACGUGCCAGCAGCCGCGGUAAUACGUAGGGUGCGAGCGUUGUCCGGAAUUAUUGGGCGUAAAGGGCUCGUAGGCGGUUUGUCGCGUCGGGAGUGAAAACGGCCAGCUUAACUGGUUGCUUGCUUUCGAUACGGGCAGACUAGAGGGAUGCAGGGGAGAACGGAAUUCCUGGUGUAGCGGUGAAAUGCGCAGAUAUCAGGAGGAACACCGGUGGCGAAGGCGGUUCUCUGGGCAUUCCCUGACGCUGAGGAGCGAAAGUGUGGGGAGCGAACAG
rnacentral:rRNA from 1 species